AAGAGGUUAAAGUCUCAAUCUUAUUCAGUAAUAACUUUUCUGAGCUUCAAACGGUAACGCAUCAGCGGACUUACAAAACAUCCCUUGGUUCAAAAAUAGUAGUUUUUUACCAAGUUAAUUUAGCACCACGAAAUUUUUGAGACUUUUUAACCCUACAAUUAAAUAUACGUGAGCUCGCGGGGCUCAACCGGAGAGUUGCUAACACUGACCCUAGUAAGAGCAGUGCUUCGCAGAAUCUACCACCGGAUCGGAGAUGCGACCCACUGAGAAGAUCCGGCGAGAAACUCAGUGACCUGUGUCUAUGGGUUAGUUCGCUCGUCCAGCCCUACGUCGCAAGCGACGGGUUCGACGAGCACGGUGACCGUUCUGAAGUCAGAGAUUGUUGAUUGUGUGAUAUAUGUAUUUACAAGAAAUUUCUGGGUAAAAGCUGUUAAUGUGUUUUUUCAAAAAUAUAUCCACACGAACAACGUUUCAAGGAAAAGCCUUGUUAAGUGAAGUGAGUCUACCCAAAACUUUCUUGAACGCUACAUAAAGAUAUUGAAAUACAUUCGUUUUCGAAAAGAUUAUGAUGAGAGCCCUGUCAAAAAUGAAGUUGGUUUAUUCUUACCUUCUUUUCAUUGACUGGAACCUUCAGUGCCGGAGGAGGUAGAUCAGGUUUUGUGGAUCGCUUCGGCUUGGGUGAUCCUGGACGAUUCAAUGACGGGUCCCUGUCCGUCGGAGGAUUCUCCGAGGACAUGUCGAACCCAUUGUUCACAUGUGUUUGACUCUGUAAACAAAAUAAAUAUAUUAGUAAAAAUUAAAAUAGAUAUGAAAAGUAGAAUAGACAAAUAAUUCGCUUGGUGCUGACUGUUAUUAAUCAAAACUGCUGAUUUAUAUAUUUUAAUACGAAUAAAGCACUUUCGGAUAAACUCGAAGGUUCGCAGUGUUUGUGCAUUCACAGCAUAUUGGGACUCCAGAAUUAAUACCCGGCUUGAAAUCAAGGCUGAAUUAUAGUGGUUUCUAAUCAAAUGAUAUGGUGACAUCGAUAUUGUGGAGAUUGAUUUGUCUGGAUUCACGAAUAUUCAGAAUAAUCGAUGACUAACGGCAAAUACAAGCGCCUUGCAAUACAUCUGUUCGUAUUUUAUGAAUUACUUAUUUUGAUUUAUGAUACUUUUAGCAUUUUUUACGCACAUUUUAAAAAUAUCAAGUAUUUUUACCUUUUUUAUUUUAUGAUGGUUUUAUCGACUUUUGUAACCUGUACUAAACUGAGAGACAUAGUAUACAAUAUUUAUAUACUAAUAGCAUUUUAUGGUAGUAUACUUUAAAAUGAGUUGUUUUGUUGUUUAUUAACUUUAAAUGUAAUGAUAAUAAAUAUGUGCAUCGACAGUGUUUAAUAUUUAGCAUUUGGAUGUUUAAUUAAAGCUGUAUCGCUUAA